rnacentral:rRNA from 1 species
AAUCAACGCUGGCGGCGUGCCUAACACAUGCAAGUCGAGCGCGAAAGGGGGCAACCCCGAGUAGAGCGGCGAACGGGUGAGUAACGCGUGGGUGAUUUGCCUCCGAGUGGGGAACAACACCGGGAAACUGGUGCUAAUACCGCAUGACAUCCUCGGGUCGUACUGGGGAUCAAAGCUGGGGACCGCAAGGCCUAGCGCUUGGAGAGAAGCCCGCGUCCGAUUAGCUAGUUGGGGGGUAAUGGCCUACCAAGCGACGAUCGGUAGCCGGCCUGAGAGGGCGGACGGCCACACUGGGACUGAGACACGGCCCAGACUCCUACGGGAGGCAGCAGUGGGGAAUUUUUCGCAAUGGGGGAAACCCUGACGAAGCAACGCCGCGUGGAGGAUGAAGGCC